rnacentral:rRNA from 1 species
ACGCUGGCGGUAUGCUUAACACAUGCAAGUCGAACGGUCUCUUCGGAGAUAGUGGCGGACGGGUGAGUAACGCGUAAGAAUCUACCUAUAGGUUCGGGACAACAGUUACAAAUGACUGCUAAUACCGGAUAUGCCUUCGGGUGAAAGUUUUAAAUGCCUGUAGAUGAGCUUGCGUUCGAUUAGCUAGAUGGUGGGGGUAAUGGCCUACCAUGUCGACGAUCGAAUAACUGGGUCUGAAAGGAUGACCAGUCCCACUGGGGACUGAAACACGGCCCAGACUCCUACGGGACGCAGCAGUGGGGAAUUUACCGCAAAGGGCGAAAGCCUGACGGAGCAAUACCGCGUGAGGGACGAAGGCUGUGGGUUGUAAACCUCUUUUGUUAGGGAAGAUAAUCACGGUACCUAACGAAUAAGCAUCGGCUAACUCCGNUGCCAGCAGCCGCGGUAAGACGGAGGAUGCAAGCGAUAUCCGGAUUUAUUGGGCGUAAAGCGUACGUAGGCUGUUUGAUAAGUCUGUUGUCAAAGCCCGAGGCUCAACCU